rnacentral:rRNA from 1 species
GACGAACGCUGGCGGCGUGCUUAACACAUGCAAGUCGAACGGUGACCCUCGGAGCUUGCUUCGGGGUGAACAGUGGCGAACGGGUGAGUAACACGUGAGUAACCUGCCCCUGACUCUGGAAUAAGCGCUGGAAACGGCGUCUAAUACCGGAUAUGACACACCCUCGCAUGGGGAGUGUGUGGAAAGUUUUUCGGUCUGGGAUGGACUCGCGGCCUAUCAGCUUGUUGGUGAGGUAAUGGCUCACCAAGGCGAUGACGGGUAGCCGGCCUGAGAGGGCGACCGGCCACACUGGGACUGAGACACGGCCCAGACUCCUACGGGAGGCAGCAGUGGGGAAUAUUGCACAAUGGGCGAAAGCCUGAUGCAGCGACGCCGCGUGAGGGAUGACGGCCUUCGGGUUGUAAACCUCUUUCAGCAGGGAAGAAGCGAAAGUGACGGUACCUGCAGAAGAAGCACCGGCUAACUACGUGCCAGCAGCCGCAGUAAGAC